rnacentral:rRNA from 1 species
GCGAGUCUGGGGUUAAACCCAGGCGCACUGCUCAGUAACACGUAGUCAAUCUACCCUUAGGAUCGGUCUAAUCCCGGGAAACUGGGGCCGAGGACCGGAUAGGUAAGGGAUACUGGAAUGUUCCUUUACCCAACUAAGGAUGAGACUGCGGCCUAUCAGGUUGUUGCCAGGGUAAAGUCCUGGCGAGCCUAUAACAGGUACGGGCCUUGAAAGAGGGAACCCGGAGUUGGAUUCUGAGACAUGAAUCCAGGCCCUACGGGGUGCAGCAAGCGCGAAACGUCCGCAAUGCCCGCAAGGGUGACGGCGGAAUUCGGAGUGGUUUCUCCGUUAGGAGGAACCUUUUGCCAAGUCUAGAUAGCUUGGUGAAUAAGUGGUGGGUAAGACGGGUGCCAGCCGCCGCGGUAAUACCCGCGCCACGAGUGAUAACCAUUAUUACUGGGUUUAAAGCGUUCGUAGCCUGUCUUGAAAGUUCUCGAUGAAAUCCCGUAGCUAACUGCGGGGCUUGUCGAGGAUACUGCAAGACUAGGGACCGGGAGAGGCCAAAAGUAUUCCUGGGGUAGGAGUAAAAUCCUAUAAUCCCGGGAGGACUACCUGUGGCGAAGGCGUUUGGCUAGAACGGAUCCGACGGUGAGGGACGAAAGCUAGGGGAGCAAGGCGGAUUAGAUACCCGCGUAGUCCUAGCUGUAAACGAUGCCCAUUAGACAUUGGCAGCCCCACGAGGACUGCCAGAGUCGUA